GAUGAAGAACGCAGCGAAAUGCGAUAAGUAAUGUGAAUUGCAGAAUUCAGUGAAUCAUCGAAUCUUUGAACGCAUCUUGCGCUCCAUGGUAUUCUGAGGAGCAUGCCUGUUUGAGUGUCAUUAAAUUCUCAACUACACUGACUUUGAAUUGGUGUGGCUUGGAUUUGGGGGGAAAAUUGUUGUGGGCUUUUUGUAUAGUCUGCUCCCCUGAAAUUGAUUAGCGGUACCUUUGUGGAACUGUCUACAGGUGUGAUAAUUAUCUACAUCUUAGACAUCUGCUGGAAUGCUGCUUUCUAAACCUUACUUGUAUUGACAAUCUUGACCUCAAAUCAGGUAGGACUACCCGCUGAACUUAAGCAUAUCAAUAAGCGGAGGA
rnacentral:misc_RNA from 1 species